GAAUUCUUUAGUGAAGUGGCGCUAAUCUCCUUCAAGAUAAAGUCCCUCUGAGAUGACAAAAAGCGGGAAAAACUUUAACGGGGAUCAAGCGACCGGCGGUAAAAGAAGACAUGAAACAGUAAGCACCCACUGAAACGGUGAUGGUCUGUCAUAGUCUCCGAGCCUGAUGUGAAGGAAGAAAAAGAUUGACUGUAUAAUAGAACUGGACUGAGUGAGUCCUCCCCCUUGGCAUCCCAAACAGGAAGUACCCACUGGCUCCAAGAAGCUAAAACCCUGAUGAUCAGGGGUCUGCGGCUCCGGGACCACAUGUGAUUCUUUUACCCUCCAUUGUGGCUCUUUGGUUAAAAUAAAAUGUAAAAAAAAAAAAAA